GAUGAACGCUAGCGGCAGGCCUAACACAUGCAAGUCGAGGGGCAGCGGGUGUAGCAAUACAUGCCGGCGACCGGCGCACGGGUGAGUAACGCGUAUGCAACCUACCUUUAACUGGGGAAUAGCUCGAAGAAAUUCGGAUUAAUACCCCAUAACAUUAUCUGAGGGCAUCUGAGGAUAAUUAAAGCUCCGGCGGUUAAAGAUGGGCAUGCGUGCCAUUAGCUAGUUGGUAAGGUAACGGCUUACCAAGGCUACGAUGGCUCGGGGGUCUGAGAGGAUGAUCCCCCACACUGGAACUGAGACACGGUCCAGACUCCUACGGGUGGCAG
rnacentral:rRNA from 1 species